rnacentral:lncRNA from 1 species
UGCAAAAUAACAAAUAUAGAGAUUGGAUAACGACCAAGUUCUGCCAUACUUGCAAUAUUAGAAGCAUAUUUAGUGGCACCAAGUACAUAUUUACAAUAUCGAAUGUGAACCUUUUCAGGAACAAAAUUUAAAAAAGUUUUUUCUAAAUCAUCAUUUGAACCUUGUGUUAAUCUUUUGUCCAGGUUAAGAAUGUACGGACCCCACAAUUCACUUCCAUAGAGAAGGACUGGUUUUACACAGGAGUCAAAAAGUUUUAAAAGCAA